rnacentral:rRNA from 1 species
GAUGAGCCAGAAUUGGCACCUUGUCUAUAAAUAAGGUGCAAAAUGAUUUUAACUGAAGAGUUUGAUCAUGGCUCAGAUUGAACGCUGGCGGCAGGCUUAACACAUGCAAGUCGAGCGGGGGAAGGUAGCUUGCUACUGGACCUAGCGGCGGACGGGUGAGUAAUGCUUAGGAAUCUGCCUAUUAGUGGGGGACAACAUCUCGAAAGGGAUGCUAAUACCGCAUACGUCCUACGGGAGAAAGCAGGGGAUCUUCGGACCUUGCGC